rnacentral:rRNA from 1 species
CAGCCGCCACGGGAACACGGAGGGUGCAAGCGUUAAUCGGAAUUACUGGGCGUAAAGCGCACGCAGGCGGUCUGACAAGUCAGAUGUGAAAUCCCCGGGCUUAACCUGGGAACUGCAUUUGAAACUGUCAGGCUGGAGUCUUGUAGAGGGGGGUGGAAUUCCAGGUGUAGCGGUGAAAUGCGUAGAGAUCUGGAGGAAUACCGGUGGCGAAGGCGGCCCCCUGGACAAAGACUGACGCUCAGGUGCGAAAGCGUGGGGAGCAAACAGGAUUAGAUACCCCUGUAGUCCCUGUCUCUUAUAC